GCUAUGCCAACCAAAAUGGAUUCAUGUUAUUCUAGCUAUUUCCUCUCUCUCCCAAAACGCGCCACCACUAUCUUAUGGCGGCCGUGAUACUACGUGAGUAUGAGAAAAUUGGGGGCCUGGGAAGCGGCUAAAGAAGAAGCAGCCGCUUAAGGCGAUAAGCAGCACCUUGCUGCAGAUAAGACAGCCCGAGCUGGACGUGCAAAAUCAGGGGACCUGGUCAAAUUCGCAAAGUUCCCGGGAAGUGGCCGGAAGGGACUCGUUCCGCUUGCCCUUCAAAUAGGUCCAAAACCACUCUGCAAACACAAAACAAAUGCCAGCGGAAAACGGGGAAAAGCAAAGCCAAACGAGAAGGCAGAAAAGACAGGCGCAACAAUCGUCACGUAGCCCAGCACUCACACCGAGACACCGUUGGCACACGCACAUGCGAGCGUACCCACACAAGCGACGAAAAAGCCACACGCACAGGCCUUAAUGCGAUAGCCAAGUGAGUCGGAAAGAGAGGGUCCCAGCCAAGGGAGUGCGAGGGGGUCGGAAAUAGAUAUUUUAAUUUGUUUAAUACAAAUAUCUGCUAAAAAUGCUUUGAAAGUAAACCCGAAGAUGAGCUACAGAACGGCGGAAACACGGAAGCUAUGCGAAUGUAUGCGACCACAGAACUGGGUCAACGGCCCAGUUCAAAGAUGGAGCCACGCCGAGCACACUUAGAGAAAUAACAGCGUAAGUCAUUGAAAUUGAAAACAUGUUUCUGGGUACAUUGUAAUGAUCGAUUGGAGCCCUUAGGCUGUGAUGAAUUACGUGCGACAACGGCAACUGCGGCACGUGUACCACACGCAGCUCUCGGCUCUUCAGUGGGUGGAGAACUGGCGGGGUAAAGGGGCGCGGCAGACGCACACGCACUGAGGGGCGGACGACCUUGAUGACGUGCGUCUGCCUACGUAGCUCGCUUUGGCUCUUUUAUGUUCGAGAAACCGCUAGAUACUGCCACAGGUUCAUGAAUAAAAGUAAGUCAAUGAAUGUGGUUUGGAUGGAAUAAUUCAGAAAAUUUGAAGUUAAUACACAACAUUUCUUACUUUGAACGAAUUGAAUUAAAUGUUAGAUGUAACUUAUAAUAAUAUGACGUCUAUAAUUUGUCCCAUAUAUUUAGUUUAACUUAUUUUUCGAAAGAUGGAAGGGAAAACACCUACAGCUGUGCGUUAAACUAUUUUCUGAAGCUUAAUAUUUAAAAAUUACACAGGCAAUCUCGAUUCUAGAAAUAUGUACGUGACCUAGCAAUCUUUUUUCAUCUUCAGCUAUGUUAAUAAAUGCGAAGGCAACACUUUAUAAGAAUCGACCGGGAAAAUGGCUAUUGACCUUUCUUAUCAAAUUUGUGACAUUAACAGUCGGCGGCGGUUGAAUGCGGUUUUCGGCGAUCGUUGUUUAUCGAGUCUUGCGCAACCAUAUUGUUUAUUUUCCCGGAGAGUUGCUUGACAGGCUCACCGGCAAAUUUAGCACAUUUAUAAACAAUGUCGGAAUUUGGCAAACCCCUGGAAAUGAGAUCACGUUGGGCUGACUUCUAAGUGUUUGAUAAAGAACAACACAUCUCGCCACAGAUUGAUAUCUCAGAGCCAAGGCAAAUGGUAAUUCUGAUAGCACAAUUUAAACGAUACGCUUGCGUAUUCUCGGCACGUAGGCAAAGCGGUACGGACCACCCUGCUGAACGGACCACCCAAUCCGCUCGAUAAGAAGCUCAAAAAAGAGACGGAGUAUACUGCACUCGUUGACAAAAUUGUUUAACAAUAGUAAGCCUAACAGAAAGAAAAUCCGUUAAGUAUUUACACUUGGUAUAUGAAAAAUAAAUGAAUGGCAAAAGAAAUAGAACUAGAGUUACUUGUAGUAUUCCAAACUUAAAACAAAGAUUCUCUCUCUGCAAGUAGAUCUAACAAACUAUAAGGGAAAGGAAAUGCAUAUUGACUAUUGGGCAUAAUCGAAUUAUUGAAAAGUGCUUUUAUUGAUGACUCAGCCCAUUUCACUGGAAGUUAUGCCCAACGAUUGCGAAAGAAUUUCUAUAUUUGUUCCAACGUGUGCGGUGCAUGUUUGUUGUAUCUGUUAAUGCCGGGGUGUAAAGCAAAAAUAAAUAAGUAAGCGAGUAUCAAAGAUUCGGACGCAACAAACUGCGCACCAGAAUAAUUGCAAAGUCAGCACCUCUGUCCGGAAAACUGCGA